AGCGAACGCUGGCGGCGUGCCUAACACAUGCAAGUCGAACGUGAAAAGGGAAACCUGAGUAAAGUGGCGUACGGGUGAGUAACGCGUAGGUAAUCUACCCCAGAAUCUGGAAUAACCUGCCGAAAGGCGGGCUAAUACUGGAUAGAGCGAGGGAACUCGUAAGAGAGUUUUUCGGGAAAGGGAGCCCGCAAGGGCCUUCGUUCUGGGAUGAGCCUGCGCCUCAUUAGCUAGUUGGUAAGGUAACGGCUUACCAAGGCGAUGAUGAGUAGCUGGUCUGAGAGGAUGAUCAGCCACACUGGAACUGAAACACGGUCCAGACUCCUACGGGAGGCAGCAGUGGGGAAUCUUGCGCAAUGGACGAAAGUCUGACGCAGCCACGCCGCGUGAGUGAAGAAGGCCUUCGGGUUGUAAAGCUCUGUCGGAUGGGACGAACAUCUUCAUAGUGAAUAGCUAUGAGGACUGACGGUACCAUCAAAGGAAGCACCGGCUAACUCCGUG
rnacentral:rRNA from 1 species